rnacentral:rRNA from 1 species
AGCAUGUGGUUUAAUUCGAUGCAACGCGAAGAACCUUACCUACUCUUGACAUCCAGAGAACUUAGCAGAGAUGCUUUGGUGCCUUCGGGAACUCUGAGACAGGUGCUGCAUGGCUGUCGUCAGCUCGUGUUGUGAAAUGUUGGGUUAAGUCCCGCAACGAGCGCAACCCUUAUCCUUUGUUGCCAGCGGUCCGGCCGGGAACUCAAAGGAGACUGCCAGUGAUAAACUGGAGGAAGGUGGGAUGACGUCAAGUCAUCAUGGCCCUUACGAGUAGGGCUACACACGUGCUACAAUGGCGCAUACAAAGAGAAGCGAACUCGCGAGAGCAAGCGGACCUCAUAAAGUGCGUCGUAGUCCGGAUUGGAGUCUGCAACUCGACUCCAUGAAAUCGGAAUCGCUAGUAAUCGUAGAUCAGAAUGCUACGGUGAAUACGUUCCCGGGCCUU